rnacentral:rRNA from 1 species
UACGGGGGGGGCAAGCGUUGUUCGGAAUUACUGGGCGUAAAGGGCUCGUAGGUGGCCAACUAAGUCGGACGUGAAAUCCCUCGGCUUAACCGGGGAACUGCGUCCGAUACUGGAUGGCUUGAGUUUGGGAGAGGGAUGCGGAAUUCCAGGUGUAGCGGUGAAAUGCGUAGAUAUCUGGAGGAACACCCGUGGCGAAGGCGGCUCUCUGGGACGGUACUGACGCUGAGACGACGAAAGGCGUGG